AAAUGAUGAAUUCGAGAUUCAACAUGCAGAAAUAAUUUGUAUGAAACAGCACCAAUACAUUCUAGAAUUUUGAAAGGCCCAAAUUAACUAGCUGUUAAUUUGGGCACUGAUAUAACACAACCCGAUUUCCGAACUAAAUGGUAUGCGGUUCGGAUCUUUGAGUUUGGAAAAAGGAUCGAAUACCUAUGAAGAACAAAGUGAUCGGUUAAGACAAUUGGUGUUCGGACAAGUCACAAGGUGUUCGGACAAAGGAUAAGUGUUCAGUACAAUAGAAAA
rnacentral:misc_RNA from 1 species